UGAGGGAUAUUGGUCAAUGGGGAAACCCUGAACCAGCAACGCCGCGUGAGGGAAGACGGUUUUCGGAUUGUAAACCUCUGUCCUCUGUGAAGAUAAUGACGGUAGCAGAGGAGGAAGCUCCGGCUAACUACGUGCC
rnacentral:rRNA from 1 species